GAAUAGAGAUGAACAAUCUAAUGAAACUAAGUUGACACCAUAAAGUUGAGAUACUUGACUCUCCAAUAUUCUUGGAAUGACUUACAAUUUGGUACUUUGAAACUCCAAGUUUCUUGGAAUGACUUAUAAUUUGGUCAAAGUAGAGAUACUUGACUCUCCAAGAUUCUUGGAAUGACUUACAAUUUGGUCAAACUUUAGAUACUUGACUCUCCAAGAUGGAAUUAUCUUCUAGUAGAAAAACAAGCAUAAGCACUUAAGGUCGAGAACAAGGGAUAGACUAAUGCAUAUGAAACUACACCAUAAAAUUUUC
rnacentral:lncRNA from 1 species